AGCUGGACGCAUGCUGCCUAACACAUGCAAGUCGAGCGGACAGAAGGGAGCUUGCUCCCGGAUGUUAGCGGCGGACGGGUGAGUAACACGUGGGUAACCUGCCUGUAAGACUGGGAUAACUCCGGGAAACCGGAGCUAAUACCGGAUAGUUCCUUGAACCGCAUGGUUCAAGGAUGAAAGACGGUUUCGGCUGUCACUUACAGAUGGACCCGCGGCGCAUUAGCUAGUUGGUGGGGUAAUGGCUCACCAAGGCGACGAUGCGUAGCCGACCUGAGAGGGUGAUCGGCCACACUGGGACUGAGACACGGCCCAGACUCCUACGGGAGGCAGCAGUAGGGAAUCUUCCGCAAUGGACGAAAGUCUGACGAAGCAACGCCGCGUGAGUGAUGAAGG
rnacentral:rRNA from 1 species